ACACUCUGCUUCCUGCCAGAAUGGCCUUUCUUCCGUACAGCCCUGCCCUCUCUGCUCCUCCGAACCAAACCGUGCCCGGGGGGUUGUCUGCUGCCAGUCCUGCUGCCCCUCUGCCCACUUCCUUUGCUACAAUGAAAGGGGUGUCUCUUUGGCACGGCAGGCGGUCUUAGCAGCCCUCCCGCAGUUCCUUGGGAUUGUUUUGCUGAGAGUGCAGCUCUCCCCCGCACCCGUUUAUCGCAUUUUGCAUGCUAUCCAGGAUGAGAAAGUGGGCGUUCCACGGGCCUGUUUACACUGGAGGUAUGACUCGACCUUGAACAGGCUCUCCGGAGCCCCUGCUCAGAGAACAGACUUUCAGGGGUGUGGGGGGCUGGGAGCUGACGAGCGCACCUGUGAAGCUAUGACAGCCUUCAGGUGCGUUAAUGAUGCGCUUCAUUAUGCCGGUAACUGGAAAUGGCAAGAAGUCGUUACAUUCUGUUGGAAGAGCAGCUGACUUGGGACUUGCUAAUGGAUUGGUGAAAUGAGCGAGGGGCCAUUUGUAACUGUGCUUCUCUGUACUGGGGGACUCCCUGCAGACUUGACUGGGUGGGAGUGGGGGGAGCCUAGCCACAGGAAGCCUUCCUCUGCCCGGCUUGGCCAUCUUGUCCAGCUGUCAAGUGAGCAGGGCUUAACUCGUUCUGCUUUACUCACCAGCCGCAGUCCUUCGGGCACCUCGGCGUGGGCGGACUGCUUUCCCCAGUGUGUUCCAGGUCUGUCGCGGAGGUCUGCCUGGAGCGCCUGUGGGCUGGUUCUGCCUCUCUUCCCGUCCCAGCCGCCGCAAGGGACCCUCCAGAUGCACGUCCUCCGCUCUGCCCAGGCCGGUCCUUGGGCCCCAGGAGGGGUUAGUGCUGUAGCUGCUGCACAUGACAGGGAAGAGCCCGCCCAGCCACCCUUGACUCAUCUAAGGGACCGUCCUGACGGGUGCCGUAAAGCCACUCUUGUUCACAAGACAGAGUCCUUGGCCAAACAGAGCGGCCUCCAAAUCUGCUAGGGCCUCUUCCAGUGUGCAUUUGGACUGGGGUUCUUUCCACGUAGGUUUAUUCAUUAGUACUAUGAUCCCAUUUGUUUUCUGUCCUCCAGAAACCUACCAGAACUUCCGGUCUGCUGGUUUCAGUGCUGUCAUGGUUAUAUUGUUAUUUUUUGUUCUUGCCAUUUUGGUGGGACAGGGGUUUGGAGGGCAGGCAGGCGCCUGUGCUCACGGUCUGUGCUCCUGGUCUGUGGUUUGCUUUGCUCCUUAAGAACUGAGCGGGGGAGGGUUUUUAGGUUUGGAGAUUAGAAAGGGAAUUGGCUAGUAUGUACUGUAAUAUGCUCGUCACUUGGGACUUGAGUGUUUCUGGCUCGUUCUGCUUUUCACAGCUGCUCAUUGUGUUAUGGGGUAAACGUAGCUGGGUGGCAUUUAGUGUUUUUUUUUUAAAAGAUUCUCUUGGCAAGUAGAAUCUGAAAUAUAAAAUGAUCUAUCUUUAAGCGUAUACCCAUGGGAAGUCUUACAUCAUCCAUAUAAAGUUUCUGAUUAAUUGCCUGCCUAUAAUCAUGUGAAUUUAGGAAACAACCUAUAAUAAUUUUUCCUGUCUUGGCAGAAAUGUAUCUACCUUAAGUUUUAAUACCAGACAGGCCAUGGCUUUGGGGGAGGUACUGCAGACACUGAGGAAGGCAGGCGUGUUUGAAUGCCGAGUUUGCAGAAGCAGCAAACAGCACAGACUGAAACAU